AGAGCGAACGCUGGCGGCAGGCCUAACACAUGCAAGUCGAGCGCCCCGCAAGGGGAGCGGCAGACGGGAGAGUAACACGUGGGAACGUACCCUUCAGUUCGGAACAACCCAGGGAAACUUGGGCUAAUACCGGAUACGUCCGUAAGGAGAAAGAUUUAUCGCUGAAGGAUCGGCCCGCGUCUGAUUAGCUUGUUGGUGAGGUAACGGCUCACCAAGGCUACGAUCAGUAGCUGGUCUGAGAGGAUGAUCAGCCUCACUGGGACUGAGACACGGCCCAGACUCCUACGGGAGGCAGCAGUGGGGAAUAUUGGACAAUGGGCACAAGCCUGAUCCAGCCAUGCCGCGUGGAUGAUGAAGGCCUUAGGGUUGUAAAAUCCUUUCGACGGGGAAGAUAAUGACGGUACCCGUAGAAGAAGCCCGGCUAACUUCGCGCCAGCAGCCGC
rnacentral:rRNA from 1 species